rnacentral:rRNA from 1 species
UACAGAGGGUGCAAGCGUUGUUCGGAAUUAUUGGGCGUAAAGCGCGUGUGGGCGGUGAUGCAUGUCGGGUGUGAAAGCCCUCAGCUCAACUGAGGAAGUGCGCCCGAAACUGCAUCGCUGGAGUGCCGGAGAGGAAGGCGGAAUUCCCGGUGUAGAGGUGAAAUUCGUAGAUAUCGGGAGGAACACCAGUGGCGAAGGCGGCCUUCUGGACGGACACUGACGCUGAGACGCGAAAGCGUGGGUAGCAAACAGG